rnacentral:rRNA from 1 species
UACGAAGGUGGCAAGCGUUGUUCGGAAUCACUGGGCUUAAAGGGCGCGUAGGCGGACCAGAAAGUGUCUUGUGAAAUCCCCCGGCUUAACCGGGGAAUGGCUCGGCAAACUUCUGGUCUUGAGGCAAGUAGGGGUGUGUGGAACUCUUGGUGGAGCGGUGGAAUGCGUAGAUAUCAAGAGGAACGCCGAAGGUGAAGACAGCACACUGGACUUGCCCUGACGCUGAGGCGCGAAAGCGUGGGGAGCAAACAGGAUUAGAUACCCUGGUAGACCACGCCGUAAACGAUGCCUACUAGGUUGUGGGGGUUCUGACACUUCCACAGUCGUAGCAAAAGUGUUAAGUAGGCCGCCUGGGGAGUACGGUCGCAAGGCUAAA